rnacentral:siRNA from 1 species
CUCUCCAUUUAGCAUCAAAGUCCU